GGAAUCUUAGACAAUGGGGGAAACCCUGAUCUAGCCAUGCCGCGUGAUCGAUGAAGGCCUUAGGGUCGUAAAGCUCUUUCAGCUGUGAAGAUAAUGACGGUAGCAGCAGAAGAACCCCCGGCUAACUCCGUGCCCGCAGCCGCGGUAAUACGGAGGGGGGUAGCGUUGUUCGGAAUUACUGGGCGUAAAGCGCGCGUAGGCGGACUAGAAAGUCAGAGGUGAAAUCCCAGGGCUCAACCCUGGAACUGCCUUUGAAACUCCUAGUCUUGAGUUCGAGAGAGGUGAGUGGAAUUCCGAGUGUAGAGGUGAAAUUCGUAGAUAUUCGGAGGAACACCAGUGGCGAAGGCGGCUCACUGGCUCGAUACUGACGCUGAGGUGCGAAAGCGUGGGGAGCGAAC
rnacentral:rRNA from 1 species